AGAGUUUGAUCCUGGCUCAGAUUGAACGCUGGCGGCGUGCUUAACACAUGCAAGUCGAGCGGUAACAGGUGUAGCAAUACAUGCUGACGAGCGGCGAACGGGUGAGUAAUGCUUCGGAAUCUACCCAAUGGUGUGGAAUAACCAGCCGAAAGGUUGGCUAAUACCGCAUGAGCCCUACGGGGGAAAGCAGGGGAUCGCAAGACCUUGCGCCGAUGGAUGAGCCGAAGUCGGAUUAGCUAGUUGGUAGGGUAACGGCCUACCAAGGCGACGAUCCGUAGCUGGUCUGAGAGGACGACCAGCCACACUGGGACUGCGACACGGCCCAGACUCCUACGGGAGGCAGCAGUGGGGAAUAUUGGACAAUGGGGGCAACCCUGAUCCAGCGACGCCGCGUGUGUGAAGAAGGCCUGCGGGUUGUAAAGCACUUUUAGUGGGGAUGAAAAAUUCAGGGCUAAUAUCCCUGGGUCUUGACCUAACCCAAAGAAAAAGCACCGGCUAACUCUGUGCCAGCAGCCGCGGUAAUACAGAGGGUGCAAGCGUUAAUCGGAAUUACUGGGCGUAAAGCGUGCGUAGACGGUUAGAUAAGUCGGGUGUGAAAGCCCCGGGCUCAACCUGGGAAUUGCAUUCGAGACUGUGUAGCUAGGGUACGGAAGAGGGAAGCGGAAUUUCAGGUGUAAGCGGUGAAAAUGCGUAGAUAUCUGAAGG
rnacentral:rRNA from 1 species